rnacentral:rRNA from 1 species
GCGUUGCGGGAUGUAGGCCUUCGGGUUGUAAACCGCUUUUGAUUGGGAGCAAGCCUUCGGGUGAGUGUACCUUUCGAAUAAGCGCCGGCUAACUACGUGCCAGCAGCCGCGGUAAU